AACGCUGUGGCCGAGCGGUUAAGAGCACUGGACUUUCAAUCCGGAGGUCCCGGGUUCGAAUCCCGGCCGGGGUG
rnacentral:tRNA from 1 species